rnacentral:rRNA from 1 species
GACGUAGGAGACGAGCGUUGUCCGGAUUUACUGGGCGUAAAGCGCGCGCAGGCGGCCCCGCAGGUCGGUUGUGAAAGCCCCCGGCUCAACCGGGCGGAGGCGAGCGAAACCGCGGGGCUGGAGGCUGGCAGAGGGUGGUGGAAUUCCCGGUGUAGUGGUGAAAUGCGUAGAGAUCGGGAGGAACACCCGCGGCGAAGGCGGCCACCUGGACCAGACCUGACGCUGAGGCGCGAAGGCCGGGGGAGCGAAC